rnacentral:rRNA from 1 species
GGUCAGGACGAACGCUGGCGGCGUGCCUAACACAUGCAAGUCGAGCGGGGACAUUAACAGACGGAAGUUUCGGACGGAAGGGAAGAUAAGUGUUCUAGCGGCGGACGGGUGAGUAACGCGUGAGCAACCUGUCCUUCACAGGGGGAUAACACAGCGAAAGUUGUACUAAUACCGCAUAAGACCACGGUACCGCAUGGUGCAGGGGUCAAAGGAGGAAUCCGGUGAAGGGUGGGCUCGCGUCCGAUUAGAUAGUUGGUGAGUAACGGCCCACCAAGUCAACGAUCGGUAGCCGACCUGAGAGGGUGAUCGGCCACAUUGGGACUGAGACACGGCCCAAACUCCUACGGGAGGCAGCAGUGGGGAAUAUUGGGCAAUGGGGGGAAACCCUGACCCAGCAACGCCGCGUGAGGGAAGAAGGUUUUCGGAUCGUAAACCUCUGUCCUAGGUGAAGAGGAAGAGACGGUAGCCUAGGAGGAAGCCCCGGCUAACUACGUGCCAGCCGCGGC